AUAAUGGGUCAGCGACUUAUAUUCUGUAGCAAGGUUAACCGAAUAGGGGAGCCGAAGGGAAACCGAGUCUUAACUGGGCGUUAAGUUGCAGGGUAUAGACCCGAAACCCGGUGAUCUAGCCAUGGGCAGGUUGAAGGUUGGGUAACACUAACUGGAGGACCGAACCGACUAAUGUUGAAAAAUUAGCGGAUGACUUGUGGCUGGGGGUGAAAGGCCAAUCAAACCGGGAGAUAGCUGGUUCUCCCCGAAAGCUAUUUAGGUAGCGCCUCGUGAAUUCAUCUCCGGGGGUAGAGCACUGUUUCGGCAAGGGGGUCAUCCCGACUUACCAACCCGAUGCAAACUGCGAAUACCGGAGAAUGUUAUCACGGGAGACACACGGCGGGUGCUAACGUCCGUCGUGAAGAGGGAAACAACCCAGACCGCCAGCUAAGGUCCCAAAGUCAUGGUUAAGUGGGAAACGAUGUGGGAAGGCCCAGACAGCCAGGAUGUUGGCUUAGAAGCAGCCAUCAUUUAAAGAAAGCGUAAUAGCUCACUGGUCGAGUCGGCCUGCGCGGAAGAUGUAACGGGGCUAAACCAUGCACCGAAGCUGCGGCAGCGACGCUUAUGCGUUGUUGGGUAGGGGAGCGUUCUGUAAGCCUGCGAAGGUGUGCUGUGAGGCAUGCUGGAGGUAUCAGAAGUGCGAAUGCUGACAUAAGUAACGAUAAAGCGGGUGAAAAGCCCGCUCGCCGGAA
rnacentral:rRNA from 1 species